GAAAAAAAAAAUUAUUUUAAAUAAAUUUAAAUUAAAUUAAUGAAUAGAGUAAUUAAAUUUAACCCAGGCUCGGAUUAAACAAUGAUUUAUAAAUUAUUACUACAUAUGUUAAACAUAAAUUUAAAAUGUCUAAAACUGAACAUAUACAAGAACGUAAUCAUAUACUUACAAUCAACUUAGAAUGAUCAACUAAUAAAGAACAUAUAUUCAGAAACAGUAGUAUGACGAAAUAAUUUUAUCUCUUGCAGGUCAACGCUCAACAGCCUCCACCCCCACAACCUCCGCCGCCGCCCCCACAAGCGCUGCUGCCUCCAUCACAAGUGCUGACACUGGAAACAGUGGCUUCAACAGCAGUAGCAGCCAUAUUAGUCAUAAUGACCAUCCCACCAUCUCUGUUGUCGCUGUAAUUGUUUUUGCUAGCUCCACCGCGAUUAGCUUUAUUGGUAGAAUAGGUACCUCCAGUGGUAGGAGCUGGUCGUCUUUGAUAUUUGUUUUCUUUCUUUUUGUGGUGACGCUUGCCAAAACACCCCAUAACUAGAGAAUAAAGCUGUGACAAACUCGUCGACUUGUAUAUGUUUUUUGAGAAGUAUAUGCCUCUUGGUUCUUCUCAUUACAUCCUUAUAUAUACACUCAAGAAUGUCACAUUGUAUUCAAAACUAGGCUAUUGGAUGGUUGAAGUAGUCAACUUAAUGGAAAUGCAAGGCAUUAAUGGGAACUAGUUUUGCCGAUUAAUUUGGCUUCAACUUGUAAGGAACUUUCUGUUGCGUUGCCUAUUAAUUUUGGUGAGGAAAAAACAAAUGAAGACUUGGACAUUGAGAGCGAACCGGGUACUAUUCCACCAGAAAACUUGGCCAUUAAGUAUAUAUAAUGUGUCGACAAGAGAAUGGGUCAAGUUGAGCCUUACAUCAGUUCAGAACUAUUUCAGAGGAAAGCAUUGAUUGAAUCCUAGCGUUGCCCAUAAUCUUUUGGGCAGGGCCCAAAGGAUCUUCUAGGCCAUUAAGAGAUUUGUAUCGCAAUAGUAUUUUGAAUUCUGUGGAGGAUCCAUGGGCUUAGUCUGAAUGUUGGGAGAGAUAGGCUUAAGAUAUGACCAAUUCAGACGUAACACAUCCAAGGAUGGGCUUUUCUUUGGGCUACAAUUGCACUUCUAAGCUGCCAUGUUGCCUUUUUUUUAUUUAACCUAAAUAUUUAUUAAUUAAUUUAUUUGUUCAUAAAGACUAUUUUCUGAUAUAAUAAUCAAGGCACGUUUAGCAUAAUUUCUUUUUCAAUUCAUGCAUUUUUUAUAUGUGUAAUAUACAUAUAGAAAUUUAGGCACAUGUUUAUUUCUUACAUUUAUAUAUUUAAAAUUUAAAAUAAAGUAAAUAAUCUAAAUCAACAAAAAAAUAAGUUAAUUUUAAA
rnacentral:misc_RNA from 1 species